GGCUGAACCAGCAACUUGGAGGAAUGUAUAGCUUUAGCUUAUUAUAAUAAAUUUAUAUUUUAUGAUUUCGACUACGUCGUUUAAAAUUCUAGAUAUUUAUUGAUUAUGACAGUUUAUAUCUAUAAGUCUUGACUAAAUCUCGUGCCAGCAGUCGCGGUAAGACGAGAAAGACUAGUGUUAUUCAUCUUUAAUAGGUUUAAAGGGUACCUAGACGGUAUAUCUAGCCUUAAAAGGGUACAGAUAUACUCGAGUUUAAUAUGUAAGAAGGUAGUAUUUCUGGUGUAGAGAUGAAAUUCUGUAAUACCUUAAGGACUGGUAAGGCGAAGGCAACCUUGAAUCUAUGUAUAAACUGACGUUGAGGGACGAAGGCUUGGAUAGUAAAAAGGAUUAGAUACCCUAGUAGCCCUUGCAGAAAAUUAUGAAUGUCAUAGAUUAGAUUGUUAUUUACUCUAUAAAUGAAAGUGUAAGCAUUCCACCUCAAGAGUAAUGCGGCAACGCAGGAACUGAAAUCAUUAGACCGUAUCUGAAACCAGUAGUGAAGUAUGUUAUUUAAUUCGAUGAUCCACGAAAAACCUUACCACAAUUUGUAUAUCUAGCGUAAUACAAGCGUUGCACGGCUGUCUUCAGUUAAUGUCGUGAGAUUUUGGUUAGUUCCAUAAAAUUAACGUAAACCCUUACUUUUUUUAUAUAUAGUAAAAAAGUAGUUCACCGCUAUAUUGGUAAUAGAUAACAGGGAUCAAGACAAGUCAUCAUG
rnacentral:rRNA from 1 species